rnacentral:rRNA from 1 species
GGCGAACGGGUGAGUAACACGUGGGCAAUCUGCCCUGCACUCUGGGACAAGCCCUGGAAACGGGGUCUAAUACCGGAUACUGAUCCUCGCAGGCAUCUGCGAGGUUCGAAAGCUCCGGCGGUGCAGGAUGAGCCCGCGGCCUAUCAGCUAGUUGGUGAGGUAACGGCUCACCAAGGCGACGACGGGUAGCCGGCCUGAGAGGGCGACCGGCCACACUGGGACUGAGACACGGCCCAAACUCCUACGGGAGGCAGCAGUGGGGAAUAUUGCACAAUGGGCGAAAGCCUGAUGCAGCGACGCCGCGUGAGGGAUGACGGCCUUCGGGUUGUAAACCUCUUUCAGCAGGGAAGAAGCGAAAGUGACGGUACCUGCAGAAGAAGCGCCGGCUAACUACGUGCCAGCAGCCGCGGUAAUACGUAGGGCGCAAGCGUUGUCCGGAAUUAUUGGGCGUAAAGAGCUCGUAGGCGGCUUGUCACGUCUGUUGUGAAAGCCCGGGGCUUAACCCCGGGUCUGCAGUCGAUACGGGCAGGCUAGAGUUCGGUAGGGGAGAUCGGAAUUCCUGGUGUAGCGGUGAAAUGCGCAGAUAUCAGGAGGAACACCGGUGGCGAAGGCGGAUCUCUGGGCCGAUACUGACGCUGAGGAGCGAAAGCGUGGGGAGCGAACAGGAUUAGAUACCCUGGUAGUCCACGCCGUAAACGGUGGGCACUAGGUGUGGGCAACAUUCCACGUUGUCCGUGCCGCAGCUAACGCAUUAAGUGCCCCGCCUGGGGAGUACGGCCGCAAGGCUAAAACUCAAAGGAAUUGACGGGGGCCCGCACAAGCGGCGGAGCAUGUGGCUUAAUUCGACGCAACGCGAAGAACCUUACCAAGGCUUGACAUACACCGGAAAACCCUGGAGACAGGGUCCCCCUUGUGGUCGGUGUACAGGUGGUGCAUGGCUGUCGUCAGCUCGUGUCGUGAGAUGUUGGGUUAAGUCCCGCAACGAGCGCAACCCUUGUCCCGUGUUGCCAGCAGGCCCUUGUGGUGCUGGGGACUCACGGGAGACCGCCGGGGUCAACUCGGAGGAAGGUGGGGACGACGUCAAGUCAUCAUGCCCCUUAUGUCUUGGGCUGCACACGUGCUACAAUGGCCGGUACAAUGAGCUGCGAUACCGCGAGGUGGAGCGAAUCUCAAAAAGCCGGUCUCAGUUCGGAUUGGGGUCUGCAACUCGACCCCAUGAAGUCGGAGUCGCUAGUAAUCGCAGAUCAGCAUUGCUGCGGUGAAUACGUUCCCGGGCCUUGUACACACCGCCCGUCACGUCACGAAAGUCGGUAACACCCGAAGCCGGUGGCCCAACCCCUUGUGGGAGGGAGCUGUCGAAGGUGGGACUGGCGAUUGGGACGAAGUC